rnacentral:sRNA from 1 species
CGAACCUGCCUUUCAGGCAUCCUCUCCCAAACUUCCAAGGCCCGGCCGGCAACGACCGGGCCUUUUUUUGCGCAAGU